rnacentral:rRNA from 1 species
UAAACCAUGCACCGAAGCUGCGGCAGCGACACUAUGUGUUGUUGGGUAGGGGAGCGUUCUGUAAGCCUGCGAAGGUGACCUGUGAGGGUUGCUGGAGGUAUCAGAAGUGCGAAUGCUGACAUAAGUAACGAUAAAGCGGGUGAAAAGCCCGCUCGCCGGAAGACCAAGGGUUCCUGUCCAACGUUAAUCGGGGCAGGGUGAGUCGACCCCUAAGGCGAGGCCGAAAGGCGUAGUCGAUGGGAAACAGGUUAAUAUUCCUGUACUUGGUGUUACUGCGAAGGGGGGACGGAGAAGGCUAUGUUAGCCGGGCGACGGUUGUCCCGGUUUAAGCAUGUAGGCUGGUUGUCCAGGCAAAUCCGGAUAAUCAAGGCUGAGGUGUGAUGACGAGGCACUACGGUGCUGAAGUAACAAAUGCCCUGCUUCCAGGAAAAGCCUCUAAGCAUCAGGUAACAUUAAAUCGUACCCCAAACCGACACAGGUGGUCAGGUAGAGAAUACCAAGGCGCUUGAGAGAACUCGGGUGAAGGAACUAGGCAAAAUGGUGCCGUAACUUCGGGAGAAGGCACGCUGGUGUGUAGGUGAAGUCCCUGCGGAUGGAGCUGAGACCAGUCGAAGAUACCAGCUGGCUGCAACUGUUUAUUAAAAACACAGCACUGUGCAAACACGAAAGU